CCAGCAGCCGCGGUAAUUCCAGCUCCAAUAGCGUAUAUUAAACUUGUUGCAGUUAAAAAGCUCGUAGUUGAAUUUCUGCGUUGCCCGACUCGGCUACUUGCCUUGUCUGGUUUCGCUUUUGGGGUUUUCCCCUUUUUACUUUGAGAAAAUUAGAGUGUUUCAAGCAGACUUGUGUCUUGAAUACUUCAGCAUGGAAUAAUAAAGUAGGACUUUGGUUCUAUUUUGUUGGUUUGUGAACCUUAGUAAUGGUUAAUAGGAACGGUUGGGGGCAUUCGUAUUUAACUGUCAGAGGUGAAAUUCUUAGAUUUGUUAAAGACGAACUACUGCGAAAGA
rnacentral:rRNA from 1 species